UACAUACUCCCUCCGUCUGGAAAUACUUGUCAUCAAAAUGAAUAAAAAGGGAUGUAUCUAGAUGUAUUUUAGUUCUAGAUACAUCCUUUUUCGUCCAUUUUGAUGACAUGUAUUUUCGGACAGAGGGAGUAUAUA
rfam:Triticum urartu cultivar G1812 contig8334, whole genome shotgun sequence.